rnacentral:rRNA from 1 species
AUUGAACGCUGGCGGCAUGCCUUACACUUGCAAGUCGAACGGUAACGGGCCUUCGGGUGCCGACGAGUGGCGAACGGGUGAGUAAUGUAUCGGAACGUACCAUUGAGUGGGGGAUAACGUAGCGAAAGUUACGCUAAUACCGCAUAUUCUCUCCGGAGGAAAGCAGGGGACCGCAAGGCCUUGCGCGCUUUGAGCGGCCGAUAUCAGAUUAGCUAGUUGGUGGGGUAAAAGCUCACCAAGGCGACGAUCUGUAGCGGGUCUGAGAGGAUGAUCCGCCACACUGGAACUGAGACACGGUCCAGACUCCUACGGGAGGCAGCAGUGGGGAAUUUUGGACAAUGGGGGCAACCCUGAUCCAGCCAUGCCGCGUGAGUGAAGAAGGCCUUCGGGUUGUAAAGCUCUUUCAGCCGGGAAGAAAUCGCAUGGGCUAAUACCCCGUGCGGAUGACGGUACCGGAAUAAGAAGCACCGGCUAACUACGUGCCAGCCGCCGCAGUAA